AACGAACGCUGGCGGUAUGCUUAACACAUGCAAGUCGAACGAACAAAAUUGGGGCUUGCUCCAAUUUUAGUGAGUGGCAAACGGGUGAGUAACACGUGGGAAUCUACCCAUCAGUACGGAAUAACAUUUGGAAACAAAUGCUAAUACCGUAUAUUCUCUAAGGAGGAAAGAUUUAUCGCUGAUGGAUGAGCCCGCGUAAGAUUAGGUAGUUGGUAGGGUAAUGGCCUACCAAGCCGACGAUCUUUAGCUGGUCUGAGAGGAUGAUCAGCCACACUGGGACUGAGACACGGCCCAGACUCCUACGGGAGGCAGCAGUGGGGAAUAUUGGACAAUGGGCGAAAGCCUGAUCCAGCAAUACCGCGUGAAUGAUGAAGGCCUUA
rnacentral:rRNA from 1 species